GGAGUUUUAGUUUAACAGGCAAAACACUUGGCGUAGUCAAGGCGUAAUCGGUUCGAGUCCGAUAAACUCCUCCC
rnacentral:tRNA from 2 species